GAAUGUCAGUGUAAAAGCGAUACAAAAUGCUUUUGUAAUCGAGUACCUGCAAUCAAAGAGAAGAAGAUAUUAUCUUUCAUCAACAAAAAAUUUGUGAUUUUCAAAUUCUACUUUCCAUUAUCUUGCAUUUAAGAUUCUACUUUCCAUUGAGACUCCAACAUGCUAGAUAUGUGGAUUGUGGAGCACUGGAUACAUAAUUUCUAGUGUUUGUAUAAUUGGGCUCAAAGCCAAAUCAGUUUUGUGUUCCUAGCAGAUCAGCUAAUCAUCUACAGUUACAUCAUAUAUUCAUAUGGUAAACAAUGAAGUCACAGAGAUUCUUGUUUUCUCAGUUUCAAAGUCAUCAGUUUGAUAUCAACUUUUCACUUACAUAAAAGUGUAAAACUAUUUACAUUGAUUAGUUUGCUGAUUCUGACCCAAAUGGCAUCGUUUGAUCAGGUAAGCUCCAUAAAUCAUAAAUUACAGUGACUUCGUAUAUAUUAUUACAUUAGAUCAGUUAUAUUUAGAACUAAAUACAACUGGUAUUCCCUUAAUUCGAGCAUACUAAGCCAAUUAGGGUUUCCCAACUGUGAAAUCACGAAAAUAUAAUUGAUGGCGUUUCAAGUGCAACAGACAAUUCAAUCCAGAUUUGCCACUAAGUGUCAGCUAAUAUAUAGCUAAAUGAGGAAGAAUAUACAAUCACAGGCGCAUUGUAAAAGCCCUAAAUCACACAUACGAUUAGGAACAGAGCAAGUGAAAACAGACGCACCAGAACUUAAAUUCAGGUAGGCGGCGGACAAAGGGGCGGAAUUCUUCGGAUCGGCUGGUAGGUAGAGACGGACCAUCAAGUUCUGGAUCAACCUGAGGGGAAAGGAAAGCGAGGAAGAGCUGAAGGAUGUAGAUUCCGAGGCCGUAAGUUAUGAUGUAAAAACCUUGAACGAAGUAAACACGAAGGGCGUAGAUGAACAAGACGACGGCAAAACCGAUCCAACGGUGGAGGACGUGUGGAGUUGACUUGUCGAGGAGGUGUUGGUAUCGGCGGGAUACAGUGAAGGUCCAUUCAGAGAGCGAUGAGGAUUUGAGAUCGGUGUCUCCUCCGCCUCCGCCUCCGCCUCCACUACCACCACCAACCACCCCAGCAACAUUCAUUUUUCUAUUGAUUUCUUCUUCUUCUUCCUCUCUGUAUUGAGGAUCAGCGAGGAAGAU